rnacentral:rRNA from 1 species
UACAGAGGUCUCAAGCGUUGUUCGGAUUCAUUGGGCGUAAAGGGUGCGUAGGCGGCGCGGUAAGUCGGGCGUGAAAUCUCGGAGCUUAACUCCGAAACUGCAUUCGAUACUGCCGUGCUUGAGGACUGGAGAGGAGACUGGAAUUUAAGGUGUAGCGGUGAAAUGCGUAGAUAUCGUAAGGAAGACCAGUGGCGAAGGCGGGUCUCUGGACAGUUACUGACGCUGAGGCACGAAGGUCAGGGGAGCAAACGGG